CGGACGGGUGAGUAACGCGUGAGAAUCUAGCCAUAGGUUGGGGACAACCACUGGAAACGGUGGCUAAUACCGAAUAAGCCGGAAGGUGAAAGAUUAAUUGCCUAAGGAAGAGCUCGCGUCUGAUUAGCUAGUUGGUGGGGUAAAGGCCUACCAAGGCACCGAUCAGUAACUGGUCUGAGAGGAUGGCCAGUCACACUGGGACUGAGACACGGCCCAGACUCCUACGGGAGGCAGCAGUGGGGAAUUUUCCGCAAUGGGCGAAAGCCUGACGGAGCAAUACCGCGUGAGGGGGGAAGGCUCUUGGGUCGUAAACCUCUUUUCUCAGGGAAGAACAAAAUGACGGUACCUGAGGAAUAAGCAUCGGCUAACUCCGUGCCAGCAGCCGCGGUAAUACGGAGGAUGCAAGCGUUAUCCGGAAUGAUUGGGCGUAAAGCGUCCGCAGGUGGCAAUACAAGUCUGCUGUCAAAGGUCAAGGCUCAACUUUGGACAGGCAGUGGAAACUGUAUAGCUAGAGUGCGGUGGGGGCAGAGGGAAUUCCCAGUGUAGCGGUGAAAUGCGUAGAGAUUGGGAAGAACACCAGUGGCGAAAGCGCUCUGCUAGGCCGCAACUGACACUCAGGGACGAAAGCUAGGGGAGCGAAUGGGAUUAGAUACCCCAGUAGUC
rnacentral:rRNA from 1 species